GAGCAUUUGUGUGUGCGGGAACGAUAGCACGAGGAACGCGGCGAUCCGGCGGAUUUAUCUCAAAGUGAAGAGACACCAGCGAGAACACAAUAGCGGUCGAGUGGAGCGGCGGAGCGACGAAGAGAGAAGCAGAGAGAGAACUAGUGCAACAAGUGGACGAUUUCUUUCGUCUGUAGACGUGUGAAGAGGUGUAGUGAUAGUGCCAAGAGAGAGCGGGAAGGAGAUAGAGCCGGACUACUAAAGAGCGAGAGCGAGCGAGAAAAAUAGACAGCGAGAAAGAUAGACAGCAAGAGAGAGAGAGAGCGAGGACCUCUUGAUCUGUAGGGUGCUUCGCCUACAAUAACACCGGUCAUGACGACGGUACACCUGUGCGCGCGGCUCGCCUGCCUGUUACUGCUGCUCGCUGUCGGCAGCAGCCGCGCCGCCGACGC